GCGGGAGUGGCGGAAUGGCAGACGCACCAGACUUAGGAUCUGGCGGGAAACCGUGGGGGUUCAAGUCCCUUCUCCCGCACCA
rnacentral:tRNA from 1 species